rnacentral:rRNA from 1 species
CAGCAGCCGCGGGAAUACGGAGGGUGCAAGCGUUAAUCGGAAUUACUGGGCGUAAAGCGCACGCAGGCGGUUUGUUAAGUCAGAUGUGAAAUCCCCGAGCUUAACUUGGGAACUGCAUUUGAAACUGGCAAGCUAGAGUCUUGUAGAGGGGGGUAGAAUUCCAGGUGUAGCGGUGAGAUGCGUAGAGAUCUGGAGGAAUACCGGUGGCGAAGGCGGCCCCCUGGACAAAGACUGACGCUCAGGUGCGAAAGCGUGGGGAGCAAACAGGAUUAGAUACCCCGGUAGUCCCUGUCUCUUAUAC